rnacentral:rRNA from 1 species
AGUGAGCGCGAUAAGGGCAUUCGGUGGAUGCCUUGGUACCAGGAGGCGAUGAAGGACGUAGCACGCUGCGAAAAGCUACGGGGAGCCGCGAGCAGGCUUUGAUCCGUAGAUAUCCGAAUGGGGCAACCCACCCGCAAGGGUAUCACAGUCUGAAUACAUAGGGCUGUGAGGCGAACCCGGGGAACUGAAACAUCUCAGUACCUGGAGGAAAAGACAUCAAUUGAGAUUCUGCUAGUAGUGGCGAGCGAACGCGGAACAGGCCAGUCAUUUUUGAAGAAGAAGCAGAAGGAUCUGGAAAGGUCCGCCAUAGUGGGUGAUAGCCCCGUAUGCGUAGUGUCUUUGAGAAUGCUUGAGUAGGGCGGGGCACGUGAAACCCUGUCUGAACAUGGGGGGACCACCCUCCAAGCCUAAAUACUCCCUGGUGACCGAUAGUGAACAAGUACCGUGAGGGAAAGGUGAAAAGCACCCCGACGAGGGGAGUGAAAUAGACCUGAAACCGAAUGCCUACAAGCAGUCGGAGCCUCUUAUGGGGUGACGGCGUACCUUUUGUAUAAUGGGUCAGCGAGUUUCUGUUUGCAGCGAGCUUAAGCCGAUAGGUGUAGGCGUAGCGAAAGCGAGUCUGAAUAGGGCGCCGAGUUGCUGGCAGAAGACCCGAAACCGAGUGAUCUAGCCAUGGCCAGGCUGAAGGUGCGGUAACACGCACUGGAGGGCCGAACCCACGCCUGUUGAAAAAGUCGGGGAUGAGCUGUGGCUAGGGGUGAAAGGCCAAUCAAACUCGGAAAUAGCUGGUUCUCCGCGAAAUCUAUUGAGGUAGACCGUCAGGUAUUUACCCCGGGGGGUAGAGCACUGGAUGGGCUAGGGGGGCCCAAAGCCUUACCAAACCUAACCAAACUCCGAAUACCCGGAAGUAUAGCCUGGCAGACAGACAGUGGGUGCUAAGGUCCAUUGUCGAGAGGGAAACAGCCCAGACCACCAGCUAAGGCCCCCAAAUCGUGGCUAAGUGGGAAAGGAUGUGGGGAUUCCAAAACAACCAGGAGGUUGGCUUAGAAGCAGCCAUCCUUUAAAGAAAGCGUAAUAGCUCACUGGUCUAAUAGAAACCCUGCGCCGAAAAUGUAACGGGGCUCAAGCCACGUGCCGAAGCUGUGGGUGCAUAUCUAUGAUAUGCGCGGUAGCGGAGCGUUCCGUAAGUCUGUGAAGGAGACGGGGUGACCCUCUCUGGAGAUAUCGGAAGUGCGAAUGCUGACAUGAGUAGCGACAAACAGUGCGAGAAACACUGUCGCCGAAAGUCCAAGGGUUCCUGCGCAAGGUUAAUCCACGCAGGGUUAGUCGGCCCCUAAGGCGAGGGCGAAAGCCGUAGUCGAUGGGAAUCAGGUGAACACUCCUGAACCUGCCAGAAGUGACGAAUGCAAGAUGUUGUCAGUCCUUAAUGGAUUGGACUGGCUUUUUGCGCAUUCCAGGAAAUAGCUCUGGCGUAUAGACCGUACCCGAAACCGACACAGGUGGACUGGUAGAGAAUACCAAGGCGCUUGAGAGAACGAUGCUGAAGGAACUAGGCAAAUUACUCGUGUAACUUCGGGAUAAGCGAGACCCGUUGGUGGGCAACCAUUGGCGGGUGGCACAGACCAGGGGGUAGCGACUGUUUAGUAAAAACACAGGGCUCUGCGAAGUCGAAAGACGACGUAUAGGGCCUGACGCCUGCCCGGUGCCGGAAGGUUAAGAGGAGGUGUGAGAGCACUGAAUUGAAGCCCCGGUAAACGGCGGCCGUAACUAUAACGGUCCUAAGGUAGCGAAAUUCCUUGUCGGGUAAGUUCCGACC